GGAGAGGUCGCAUAGUUGGUCUAGUGCGCAUCUUUGGAGAAGAUGUAUAACCGCAAGGUUAUCGAGGGUUCGAAUCCCUCCCUCUCCG
rnacentral:tRNA from 4 species